rnacentral:rRNA from 1 species
AACCUCGGAAUUGCAUUUGAAACUGGCAGACUAGAGUACUGUAGAGGGGGGUAGAAUUUCAGGUGUAGCGGUGAAAUGCGUAGAGAUCUGAAGGAAUACCGGUGGCGAAGGCGGCCCCCUGGACAGAUACUGACACUCAGAUGCGAAAGCGUGGGGAGCAAACAGGAUUAGAUACCCUGGUAGUCCACGCCGUAAACGAUGUCUACUUGGAGG